rnacentral:rRNA from 1 species
AGUCGACGAUGAUCCCAGCUUGCUGGGGGAUUAGUGGCGAACGGGUGAGUAACACGUGAGUAACCUGCCCUUGACUCUGGGAUAAGCCUGGGAAACUGGGUCUAAUACCGGAUAUGACUGUCUGACGCAUGUCAGGUGGUGGAAAGCUUUUGUGGUUUUGGAUGGACUCGCGGCCUAUCAGCUUGUUGGUGGGGUAAUGGCCUACCAAGGCGACGACGGGUAGCCGGCCUGAGAGGGUGACCGGCCACACUGGGACUGAGACACGGCCCAGACUCCUACGGGAGGCAGCAGUGGGGAAUAUUGCACAAUGGGCGCAAGCCUGAUGCAGCGACGCCGCGUGAGGGAUGACGGCCUUCGGGUUGUAAACCUCUUUCAGUAGGGAAGAAGCGAAAGUGACGGUACCUGCAGAAGAAGCGCCGGCUAACUACGUGCCAGCAGCCGCGGUAAUACGUAGGGCGCAAGCGUUAUCCGGAAUUAUUGGGCGUAAAGAGCUCGUAGGCG